GAUCAUGGCUCAGGAUGAACGCUAGCUACAGGCUUAACACAUGCAAGUCGAGGGGCAGCAUGGUCUUAGCUUGCUAAGGCCGAUGGCGACCGGCGCACGGGUGAGUAACACGUAUCCAACCUGCCGUCUACUCUUGGACCAGCCUUCUGAAAGGAAGAUUAAUACAAGAUGGCAUCAUGAGUCCGCAUGUUCACAUGAUUAAAGGUAUUCCGGUAGACGGAUGGGG
rnacentral:rRNA from 1 species